rnacentral:rRNA from 1 species
UACGGAGGGGGCAAGCGUUAUUCGGAAUUAUUGGGCGUAAAGGGCGCGUAGGCGGCUAGAUGUGUCAAAGGUGAAAUCCCUCGGCUCAACUGAGGAACUGCCUUUGAAACUGUCUGGCUUGAGGCCGGGAGAGGGUAGCGGAAUUCCCAGUGUAGCGGUGAAGUGCGUAGAUAUUGGGAGGAACACCAGUGGCGAAGGCGGCUACCUGGACCGGUUCUGACGCUGAGGCGCGAAAGCGUGGGUAGCAAACAGG